CCUGGUUUCUAUUUUUGUAUUCGUAAUGUAUACCUAUAAAUACCUUUUUCAACGAUUGUAUCAAAUGGAGAUUGAAAGAACCGUUUCUAUAGGUUGGCUACUUAGAUGUUUUGGUGUUGAACCAACGUUAUAUUCACCAUGAUACACAAAGUGUACGUUAACAAGAAAGGGUUGACCUAUGAUGCAACUUUCUUACGUACAUUGCAGCUUUGCGGUUUUAUAAGCAGCCGUAUGAAACAGUUUAAAAAAGAGCAAAUACCCAAAAAAAUUCGCUUGUUCAACUGAGACACGGUGGUUUUAGAUAUUCUUUUUUCAUUUUCUCGAAAAAUAAACGUUAUGUUAUUUUAACUAAUGUAUAGUUCUAUACAUACAUAUACCCAUAUAGUUUUUAUAAAAUUCUUAUGCACGACUAGUUGAUCCUUCAUGAUGUUAAUAUUGUUUUGUAUAAUAAAAAGGCAUUCGCAUCCAACUUAUGCCCACCGUUUGUUUUUCAAACUCUAUUUC
rnacentral:lncRNA from 1 species